AAUCAACGCUGGCGGCGUGCCUAACACAUGCAAGUCGAACGCGAAAGGGGCUUCGGCCCUGAGUAGAGUGGCGAACGGGUGAGUAACGCGUGGGUGACCUGCCUUCGGGUGGGGGAUAACGUCUCGAAAGGGACGCUAAUACCGCAUGACAUCCUGCCUUUGAGGAGGUGGUGAUUAAAGCUGGGGAUCGCAAGACCUGG
rnacentral:rRNA from 1 species